AGUGAACGGUGCUUGGGAGUGACUUAUGAAAGGACAGCAGCUGGAAAGAGACGAGUCAGGAAAAGACACUGUGUCUACGACGUUGAUCUUGUGGCUUCAAAACAGUCAUUGUUGAAAUGUUGUUUAAAUUGCUGAACAAGUCAUGACUGGGCAUUGCAGCACUGAUGGUAGUUUGCAUGAUUUAUGUGAUGGGUUCUUGUUCAAGGAGCAAGAGUUCUUCAGCAACACCCAACUGCUCUACAAAUAUUUCUUUAUUAUGACGAUUUGGAAAUAUGCAAUCUGCUUGGUUGAAAUGUAAAAAGCACAAACUAGGGACUUUCUAUAGGCAACAGUGAACCUAAGCAUAGAUCUUCUCAGAGAGUCAUUCAGCUUGUGACGUUAGUUAAAGCUAAACUGGUUAAUGAAUAUGGCGUGGAUGAAAUGCUUAACCCAUUUGUUG